rfam:Piscirickettsia sp. Y2 scaffold00001, whole genome shotgun sequence.
GCCCAUAUAGCUCAGGCGGUAGAGCACUUUCUUGGUAAGGAAGAGGUCACCAGUUCGAGUCUGGUUAUGGGCA